rnacentral:rRNA from 1 species
UACGUAGGUGACCAGCGUUGUCCGGAUUUACUGGGCGUAAAGAGCGCGCAGGCGGUCCUUCAAGUCGAGUGUGAAAGCCCCCGGCUCAACUGGGGAGGGUCAUUCGAUACUGAUGGACUCGAAGGCAGGAGAGGGAAGCGGAAUUCCCGGUGUAGUGGUGAAAUGCGUAGAUAUCGGGAGGAACACCAGUGGCGAAGGCGGCUUCCUGGCCUGUUCUUGACGCUGAGGCGCGAAAGCUAGGGGAGCAAAC